UGAGGAGGCAUUUGCUUCUCACAGGAACAAAAGCCAGCAAUGUUCCUGUGAUAAUCAAAGACCUCAUUCUCUUGUAUAUAAAUACAAGAUGUAAGUAAAUAUACAGAAGGAUCUUAAUAUGUUACAGCAGAAAUAUAAAACAACGCACUACUAACCCAACAAAAAUCAAAAUGUAUCCAAAUAUCAUAAGAACCAUGUGGAUGCAUAAAGUUAAUACAAUUAUAAUUUAUGCCCUUAUUCUUAAUACAUAUUUUUCUAGGGAUUUGGAUAACCUAUAGUUGUUAAUUCAUUAAAUAAUUAGCAUAUAUGUCUAAUUGUUUAAUUAGUACAUAUUUAUCUAAUUGUUUUUCUUCAACAGAAAACACAUAAUUUAUAUAGUACUUAUACAUGCAUUUCUCUGAUGCUCUGCCUUUUAGUUACAGGUAUUUGAGAUAAAUGUAGUUUACUAUAAGUUUGCUUUCAGGAGAUAAUACAACCAUCAAGUAAUCUCUCUCAAAUAUUUGUACAAACUCUAUAAGGUAAUAAACAAAUAUAAUCUGUCUACAGAAUAAUACAAUGGUUUUAACUAUAUUUUCAUUGAGAUAUUUCUUCUUAUCAAGGUACAAUAAUCUGUUAGAUUCUAAGGUUUUCAACUAUUGUUCCAAAGAAAAACCAGGAAGAAUUCUAAAAGAAAAAGAAGAUACUUCAACAGAGAGGAAGCACACAUUGGGGGUCCUAAGAGGAAGAAAUGAAUCAUCCCUUUGGGUAAAACAAGGUCUUUGUAUUCUGGAUUUUAAUGAUAAAAGUAUUUUCCUAAAAAAGAAAAUCUGUAUAUCAUUAUGUAGACAGAUGAUAUAGAAAGUUAAAACAAUUGAAAAAGAGAUUUAUAUGUACUGGACUGUCUAUAAAAAUUUUAACUUACUCAAGAGUAUUUCA
rnacentral:lncRNA from 1 species